rnacentral:rRNA from 1 species
GACGAACCGUGCGAACGUUGUUCGGAAUCACUGGGCUUAAAGGGCGCGUAGGCGGGCACGCAAGUCAGGGGGUGAAAGCCCACGGCUCAACCGUGGAAGGGCCUUUUGAUACUGCGUGUCUGGAGGGAGGUAGGGGCGUGCGGAACUUCCGGUGGAGCGGUGAAAUGCGCAGAUAUCGGGAGGAACACCAAUGGCGAAGGCAGCUCGCUGGGACGUUACUGACGCUGAGACGCGAAAGCGUGGGGAGCAAACAGG